UACAGUCACACCCUCGAGAACUAUGGUGUGUCCAGAUAUAAAGCUGCUUUUUUCUAGCAGAGGGGACUUCUCCUUUCAGAAAUUAAUAAGAAAUAAUCCAUUUUGUAGGAGGCAUUCACAGUUAACAGCUCGGUUUCCAGGCCUGCUGCUAUUCCAGCCAGCAUGGACUGAAAAUCCCCUCUGCCUGCUCUCCAGCGUUACUAAAUAGAAGCAAAAGUUCACGACCGAUCAAUAUGCUCCUGUCCUGGCAUGCCUGAUUGGGAAGCGCAGCUAUUCAAGCGGUGGCACAUCACCUCGGUGGCAACAUACCUAAAGCAGAAAGCACUCUCCUGGGUUUGACAAAGUGUACCCAAAUGUCCCUAUUUCCAUCAGAAUAGAUGUUAAUAACUUAAGGCCUAAACAUGUGAUCCUCCCUCACCAGAAAAUGACAGUUAACUUUAGCAGAAGCCCUCAUUCCAGCCUGCACUAUACUCUGCGUGUAAAUGUGAUGUGUACCCAGAAUUGCUCUUGUAGGGUCAAACCCUAAAAGCUUCCGAACACUCAGCAUUUCUAUAGGGCAUCACAUUUUACUGUGGUCUGGGCUGGGUGAGUAUCUUUUCCUUUAAACAUUCAUUAGCUCCGUGGAUGAAAGUGUUCAUUAAAAUAUCACUGUGUUGAUCUUAAUAUUGAGGAGUGACAGGGCUGCUUUGCCAUAUAAAUGCUGCCCCGUUUUCUGCUCUCAGGGUGUAACAGGAGAAAGAAAGACCAUUUUGAUAGGCACUAUCUGCUGAAGGAAAACUUCACCAGGAGCUCUGCAUUGACUUUAACCUUUUAGUGGCCGCACUGCGAAGCAGAAUGGUUCAUGCUUCCCACACAGGUUUGUUUAAAAUACUCAUAAAUAUCAGCAGCCCUCCUAAUUGCUUCUGCAAAUAUCAGAAAGCAGUUACGGAGGCAUAAAGAAAUGCGACUGGAAACACGGUUCAGUGGUCUUGUACUUCCCUGAAAAGCUGAUUUUGGCUGAUUCAGUUGCUUUCAGAGGGAAUUUACCCUUUUUGGCAGUCUGAGUUUCAGCAGUGCUGAUUGGACUGACGGCCGAAAAUGCAUCUGGGGCUGAGGAAAUGAACCCGGGGUCUUUGUAUGUGUCUCAGGCUGAAUUUUGCCUGCGAGCUCUGGGUUUUGUCUUUUAGCCCCUCAGUGUCCCUGGCUGUGUGGGAUUCAGAACCCAUUUUAACACUCCUUUCAACCCCGAGACGUUCCAUCUAUGCUUUUGCAGGUGCCUUGCCCAAUUCCCUGCUUUCCCUGCCUGAUUUAGGAUAAGCACUGAUGAAAGGUCAAGGUUAUUCUGAAGUAUCCAACCCAGGAGAGUUCUCUCCCUCGUCAUUCCUUAAGAUGAACUUCGCACAACUACAACUGAUACCGUGCUGAAAGGAUCCCUUUGCAGGAUCUGGCCCUUUCCCAAAGGAAUUCCACAGCCCCCGCCGUUGUUCCGAGGGUGAUUCAGAAGCAAAGGUCAAGUGCAACGGCUUUGCUCAUCCGUGGAACUGAAAUAGGGGAGAAGGCUCUUUCCCCACAGCUCUGUGCUCCCGCAGCCCGCUCAGGGUGAAUCCUGGUACAGCGACAGCUCCUGCUCCAUUUCUUCCCAUGUUUCUGCGCUUGCUGUAUUUAUUUCCAUGUAUCCACCUCACCUCGAUCCUAUAUUGGUCACUGCCUCUCCCUGGGCUAUUGCAGGACAAUCUCUGCUCCUGCCUGGCAAACUCGCUCUUCGUUUGGCUUAUGUCUCAAUAAAAGCCUUCGGAAAGAUUUCGUUCCACCCCACACACUGCAGGUUCGUAUCCUGUUAUCUUCCCAAAGAGGCGAGUUUGUGAACCUGGACCCUCUGAUGUUGCCAGGCUACUUGGGAAAAAUCACACCAGCGACUUCUGCAACCACAUCCGACACCAGAAUCCUUGUGCGGUGCCAGGAUUCCCUGUCAAUGAGACUCGCUUUACGUUAUUUUCUCCUCGCUCAGGAAAUGUAAAGACUUUUCCCUGGUUUUACUGACCUUCUCCCUGGUUUUAGCUGACCCAGCCCUAGCAACAAGGCUCCUUGUAUAACCUGCAGACCCCAUAAGGUGCAUGCAACCCACCACCUGAUUCCUCCCUUGGUUUCCCAGAGGCUUCCUGUAGUAACCAUGAACUUCUUGGGGCAAUUUUCGCAUUUCAAAAUAUCUCAGUAGGAAUUUCAAUUUACAGUAUUCUUUCCGAGAAAUGGAGUAGUUUACAGGGAAAACGCAACAGAGAAAGGAAAUAAACCCUACCUUUAAACCGG